ACUUUGGGGAAGGAGGUUACCAAUCUGGUUUGGGGUAUCCGGUGCGGAAAUCGCAUCCUGGUAGUGGUGGAUUGUUGUGGGUCUUUUCUUGAUCCGAGCAGCGAGGUGAAUUUCCAGCAGGUGCUCCAUCGACAAAUUUACGACGAAGUAUACGAAUUUGGGUGAGUUUGGAUUGAGGACUUUGACGCGGACGAGCACUUCGACACAGAGGUCAUUUAG